UUGGAGGGCAAGUCUGGUGCCAGCAGCCGCGGUAAUUCCAGCUCCAAUAGCGUAUAUUAAAGUUGUUGCAGUUAAAAAGCUCGUAGUUGAAUUUCGGGAUUAGUACGUCGGUCGUGCCUUAGGUACGUACUGGUAUUACUGGUUCCUACCUUCUGACGAACCAUCAUGUCAUUAAUUUGGUGUGGUGGGGAAUCAGGACUGUUACUUUGAAAAAAUUAGAGUGUUUAAAGCAGGCUCGCGCUUGAAUACAUUAGCAUGGAAUAAUGAAAUAGGACG
rnacentral:rRNA from 1 species